AAAAUAAUAGUCAGGUGAUGUCCCUUUAACCACUACCGUGGGUAGGAGUAGUUAAUGAUACUUUGAGUGUUUCUUUAAAGUGUUAAGUAUGCGUAAUAAUGAGUAACAAUGAGUAUUUGUAAAAAUGGUGAUAUUGGUAAUAUAUUUCUAUUAUAUGGGUAAGUGGGGUAGUUGGCAGAGUAUGCUUGUGUAGGUGGGCAGCGAGUAGUAGUUGGCAGAGUAUAGCACAUAUUCAUUGAGUAACUAGGACAUAUGCCUGAUGGGGACGCCUAUUCUGCCUUUGGAAGGAACCCUCCUUAUUUUCUACCUGGUGUCUGCUAUUUGCUGACCAGAGCUGUGCCUGCCUAACUCUGCGAUCUGUAUUCAGUCUGAGGAGCCUGAGAAGUGCAUGGCCCCACCUCAUCAGACUUAACACAGCGAGCUGCAGGAGGGAGAGGUUUGUUCUCAUAAACGACAGAUACACAAACCCAUACUGUUUACUACUACUACUACUAAACAGGCUGAUACACAAACACACAAUAGACAUGCACUUGGACAGAUUGCUACAUAUGCACACACUCUGGGUGUGUGUACUGUACAUAUAAGACUUUUUAUCAUGUUUAAUCCUUUAAUGACAACAUGACGGUCUAUGCCCUCGCCCGUUGACGAUAUAGACCAUAAUGCAUUAAAAAUACCAGUAGGGUUAAAUACCUGGUUCGAAGGAGCCCCAGUUAUCAUUGGAUACCUGAGGGUUCCUACUAUCAGCUGGGACCACAAUAAGCGGCCUCAGACUGACAUAUGAGCUACGUGCAGCACUCAACGUGAGUGAUAAACAUGGCCCAUUAAAUCAAAAUGCUCCUAAAUAACCUGAGAGAUGUCUUUUUACAAAUACAUACUUUUGUGUAAUGGUUUUGGAUUCUGU